UACGGGGGGGAGCAAGCGUUUGUUCGGAUUUACUGGGCGUAAAGGGCGCGUAGGCGGCGUGACAAGUCACUUGUGAAAUCUCCGGGCUUAACUCGGAACGGUCAAGUGAUACUGUCGUGCUAGAGUACAGAAGGGGGCAACUGGAAUUCUCGGUGUAGCGGUGAAAUGCGCAGAUAUCAGGAGGAACACCGGUGGCGAAGGCGACUCACUGGGACAUGUAUUGACGCUGAGGUGCGAAAAGCGUGGGGGGAGCAAAACAGGG
rnacentral:rRNA from 1 species